rnacentral:rRNA from 1 species
UUCGAUGAUACGCGAGGAACCUUACCUGGGCUCGAACGUAAGAUGACUGUAGGUGAAAGCUUACAUCUCUUCGGAGCAUUUUACGAGGUGCUGCAUGGUUGUCGUCAGCUCGUGCCGUGAGGUGUCGGGUUAAGUCCCAUAACGAGCGCAACCCCUACCUUUAGUUGCCAUCAGGUAAUGCUGGGGACUCUAAAGGAACUGCCUACGCAAGUAGUGAGGAAGGCGGGGAUGACGUCAAAUCAGCACGGCCCUUACGUCCAGGGCUACACACGUGCUACAAUGGCCGAUACAGAGGGCAGCUACCUGGUGACAGGAUGCAAAUCUCCAAAGUCGGUCUCAGUUCGGAUCGGAGUCUGCAACCCGACUCCGUGAAGUUGGAUUCGCUAGUAAUCGCGCAUCAGCCAUGGCGCGGUGAAUACGUUCCCGGGCCUU